CUCUGAACUGUGUGUGAUGAACUUUCUGGUGCCCAGAGCUGCUGAGGUAGAGGGCUCGUAGUGAGGACGACUGGCUACUACUCUGAACUGUGUGUGAUGAACUUUCUGGUGCCCAGAGCUGCUGAGGUAGAGGGCUCGUAGUGAGGACGACUGGCUACUACUCUGAACUGUGUGUGAUGAACUUUCUGGUGCCCAGAGCUGCUGAGGUAGAGGGCUCGUAGUGAGGACGACUGACUACUUACUCUGAACUGUGUGUGGUGAACUUUCUGGUGCCCAGAGCUGCUGAGGUAGAGGGCUCGUAGUGAGGACGACUGGCUACUACUCUGAACUGUGUGUGAUGAACUUUCUGGUGCCCAGAGCUGCUGAGGUAGAGGGCUCGUAGUGAGGACGACUGGCUACUACUCUGAACUGUGUGUGAUGAACUUUCUGGUGCCCAGAGCUGCUGAGGUAGAGGGCUCGUAGUGAGGACGACUGGCUACUACUCUGAACUGUGUGUGAUGAACUUUCUGGUGCCCAGAGCUGCUGAGGUAGAGGGCUCGUAGUGAGGACGACUGACUACUACUCUGAACUGUGUGUGGUGGACUUUCUGGUGCCCAGAGCUGCUGAGGUAGAGGGCACGUAGUGAGGACUACUGGCUACUACUCUGAACUGUGUGUGGUGACCUUUCUGGUGCCCAGAGCUGCU